UACGGAGGGAGCUAGCGUUGUUCGGAAUUACUGGGCGUAAAGCGCGCGUAGGCGGCUUUGUAAGUUAGAGGUGAAAGCCCGGGGCUCAACCCCGGAACUGCCUUUAAGACUGCAUCGCUUGAAUCCGGGAGAGGUGAGUGGAAUUCCGAGUGUAGAGGUGAAAUUCGUAGAUAUUCGGAAGAACACCAGUGGCGAAGGCGGCUCACUGGACCGGCAUUGACGCUGAUGUGCGAAAGCGUGGGGGAGCAAACAGG
rnacentral:rRNA from 1 species